UACGAAGGGGGCUAGCGUUGCUCGGAAUCACUGGGCGUAAAGCGCACGUAGGCGGCUUUCUAAGUCAGGGGUGAAAUCCUGGAGCUCAACUCCAGAACUGCCUUUGAUACUGGGAAGCUCGAGUCCGGAAGAGGUGAGUGGAACUCCGAGUGUAGAGGUGAAAUUCGUAGAUAUUCGGAAGAACACCAGUGGCGAAGGCGGCUCACUGGCCCGGUACUGACGCUGAGGCGCGAAAGCGUGGGGAGCGAACAGG
rnacentral:rRNA from 1 species